rnacentral:rRNA from 1 species
AUUGAACGCUGGCGGCAUGCCUUACGCAUGCAAGUCGAACGGCAGCACGGGUGCUUGCACCUGGUGGCGAGUGGCGAACGGGUGAGUAAUACAUCGGAACGUACCUUAUCGUGGGGGAUAACGCAGCGAAAGCUGUGCUAAUACCGCAUACGCCCUGAGGGGGAAAGCGGGGGAUCGAAAGACCUCGCGCGAUUAGAGCGGCCGAUGCCUGAUUAGCUUGUUGGUGGGGUAAAAGCCCACCAAGGCGACGAUCAGUAGCUGGUCUGAGAGGACGAUCAGCCACACUGGGACUGAGACACGGCCCAGACUCCUACGGGAGGCAGCAGGGGGGAAUUUUGGACAAUGGGAGCAACCCUGAUCCAGCAAUGCCGCGUGAGUGAAGAAGGCCUCCGGGUUGUAAAGCUCUUUUGUCAGGGAAGAAACACCGGCUCUAACACAGUCCGGGAAUGACGGUACCUGAAGGAUAAGCACCGGCUAACUACGUGCCAGCCGCCGCAGUAA